rnacentral:lncRNA from 1 species
UGGAAGGGGAGUGAGCAGACACACUCAGGAGGUGUCUUGAGAUUAUCAUCCGCUGAGGGUGGAGCUGAGGGUGGAAGGGGAGUGAGCAGACACUCGGGAGGUGUCUUGAGAUUAUCAUCCGCUGAGGGUGGAAGGGGAUAGAGCACACACUCGGAAGGUGUCUUGAGGCUCAGGGAGUUAUCAAUUAUAGAAUGUUGUUGAGUUGGAGGAGGUGUCUUGAGAUUAUCAUCCGCUGAGGGUGGAAGGGGAUAGAGCACACACUCGGAAGGUGUCUUGAGGCUCAGGGAGUUAUCAAUUAUAGAAUGUUGUUGAGUUGGAGGAGGUGGCUGGUGGCCCAUCCUGUUUUUUAAAGUUUCAGCUGUGAGGUA